UUUAUUGUUUUACUUCUCAUUUUAUUUCUGUAUGAAUCAUUUCUGGUGUAGAAAUUAUUUGAAUUCAUGAACUAGUAAUCACAUAUGAUCUGUUCUGUGAAUGUGCAUGAGAUAUGACGAUGAUUUCAAGAUUAGAAAUAGGGUGGGGCAUUCUGUCUCAGGCUGUCAAUGCCUGAGUGGGCCACCGCAUGCCUGAGUUGAUGUCUGAAUUUUACGGCCCGGAUAAAUGCUCUGGGCUCUAGGUUAGAUUUGGUAACUGUUCAGUUUAUGCCCUGGCCCAUCAGGCCUAAAUUUUAGGCCGAUCGGCCCGGUCUUGGCCUGAAUUUAUGCCCGCGAGCUCAUGGUUACCAGGCCAAUUGUCUUACUGGGUCUUUAUCCUCGAAUUCCAUUUUAAAACUCUAGUGAGGUAGUUUCAGGUCUGAUCAGGUCAGUCAAGCCGACUUGAUUACAAUUAAGUGGGUCAGGGCUUCGGUUUGAUGAAUUUUAAGUGGGUUGGGUCAGGCUACAGGGUAAUGGGUUGCGGGAUGGGGUUCGGUUUUAGUUCUUGAUCUGUUUGCUAGAUGGGUCAGGCUCGGGUCUGACCCUAACCCAACCUGAACCCGGCCCAUUGCUACCCCUAAUCAAGUGGUGGUCACCAAGGGUAAAAUAGUUAAUCAUUAUGCAAGUGUUUUUCGGUUGUGCAUAUGCAUUUUGCCUUAGCAAUUUGUACAAGGUGUGUUUACGACGUACCCAUCGUCGGAUUUUAUGAUUUUUAUUCUUAGUUUUGCACUUCAGUGUUUAAAUGGAUACAUGGGCAAUAUUUUCGAAAAAAUGAUGCACUGUUACUUUUUUAUUGCAAGAAUUGAUUGCUUGUUUUUCACUAUUGCUUGUGUGUAUGUUUUGAUGAUUUUAUAAUCUGACAAUUUUAUAAUGGUACUGAAGGUCAAUGGAUGACAUGGGCACCAAGGAUAGCCAAGUUUUACCCCAAUCAUGUCGAAGGUCAGGCAAUCUUGAAGAGGGAAGUAAUGUUCAAGAAGUAGUACAUGAAGUACUGGUUAAGACAGGUGAGAAAUUAGAUGAAGAACCAAAACUUGGAAUGGAGUUCAAUUCUGAAGAGAAUGCAUAUGAGUUUUACAAUAAAUAUGCUGGGAAGAUAGGGUUUAGUGUUCGAAAAUCAUCAUGUAUAAAAUCAAAUGAUGGUAUCGUCACUAAGAAGGUAUUUUGUUGUUAUAAAGAAGGUCGAAAACAGAAAGAUAAACGAACGAAUCGGGCAAAGUAUCGCCGUCCAGAUAUACGAACUGGAUGCUUAGCAAAAAUGAGCAUUAAGCUUCAAGUGAAUGGCAAAUACAGUGUCACUAAAUUUGUUGCGGAGCAUAACCAUGAGGUUAUUUCACCAUCAGAGGUUCACAUGUUAAGGUCACAACGAGCUUUAAUUAAUGCUCAAAAAGCUAGAGCAGAUAUGGCAGAUAACUCAGGCAUUGAAUUUAUGAGUAGACAAGUUGGAGGUCAAGAGAAUUUGGGAUCCAUACCCGUUGAUUACAAAAAUUACUUACGUAAGAAGCGAAUGAAAGCAAUGGAAAAGGGAGAUGUAGGAGCUAUUUUAGAGUAUUUUACAAAAAUGCAAGUCAAGAAUCCAUCCUUCUUUUAUGCAAUGCAAGUAGAUGAAGAUGAUCAAAUCACCAAUAUUUUUUGGGCGGAUCCGAAAUCGAUUAUGGAUUAUAGUUACUUUGGGGAUGUGGUUUGCUUCGAUACUACAUACAGAAUAAACAGUUAUGAUCGUCCAUUUGCCCCAUUUAUUGGGGUAAAUCAUCAUAAACAAACAGUCAUAUUUGGUGCAGCAUUCUUGUAUGAUGAAACAACUGAAUCAUUUAAGUGGUUGUUUGAAACUUUCUUAAAUGCAAUGUCUGAAAAACAACCAAGGACAAUCGUAACAGACCGGAUUGCUGAAAUGAGCAAUGCAAUAGCUUCUGUGAUGCCGGGAACACAUCAUCGCCCAUGUAUCUGGCAUAUAUAUCAAAAUACUGCAAAGCACCUUAGUCAUGUAUUUCAGAGUUCAAAAGGUUUCAAAUAUGAUUUCAGCAAGUGUCUGUAUGAUUGCGAAGAAGAGGAAGAAUUUAUAACUGUAUGGAAUGAUAUGCUCGAGAAAUAUGAUCUAACACAAAAUACAUGGCUACAAGAUUUGUUUAAAGAAAGGAAAAAAUGGGCUUUGGUUUAUGACAAAAAUAUAUUUUGUGCUGACAUGAAGAAUACACAACGGAGGGAGAACAUGAAUCAUGUUUUGAAGAAAUAUUUAAGCUCUAAAUACAAUCUUUUGUGUUUCUUCACGCAUUAUGAACGGAUAGUGGCUGAACGACGAUAUCGAGAAUUAGAAGCCGAUUUCAGAAUGAGACAAAGUGCCCCGAUAUUGUUUGUUGAUGUGAAGAUGCUGAUGGAAGCAGCAAAAGCAUACACUCCGGAAGUAUUUGAAAUAUUUCAAAAUGAGUACAAAGAAACUCUUAAUCAUGCAAUUCAUAAAGGUGGUGAAUUUGGCACAGUGUUAGAGUUUCAAGUUAUUUUCAAUGACAAAGAUGAAGGCCGUCUUGUUAAAUUUGACAUAUCGAACAAUACAGUCACAUGUAGUUGUAAGAAAUUCGAGUUCGUAGGGAUACUAUGUAGCCAUGCACUAAAAGUUCUAGAUUACUAUAAUAUAAAGACGCUUCCUCUCCAUUAUAUUUUGAAGAGAUGGCAAAGAGAUGCAAAGGUUGGUACUGAGAAAGACAAUCUUGGGUUUACAAUACAAGAUGACCUUAAGCUUUCUUCAUCGAACCGUUAUAGCUAUUUGUAUCGCAAGUUUGUUAAAAUUGCUUCAAUGGCUGCAGAAUAUGAAGAGGCAUUUAAUUUUGCUGAUAGAUAUUCAGACAAAUUUCAUGAUGAAUUGACAAAAUGUAUAAAAGGGAUCAAGGAACUUCCCAUGAUGGCAUCUCAAACUAAUGAUGAAAGUGUAGAUACUGAAAGUAUGCACGAUCAGUCGACUGACAAUGAAGUUAAUUCUGUUGAUAGUCUCAGCUCUCAAACAGUAAGUGGGAUUAAAAUGAAGCCUAGAGUUGGAGGUGGUCGUCGUACAUUCAAAAAUCCACUAGAUAAAGGAAGAAAGAAAAAAUCUCGAACUGAAUUUAUUCAGCCACAAACAAAUCAAGAGGGAAAUGAUUCAGCCCAAGCACCGAAUAUCAUUCACCUUCCUUCAUUUCAGCCUUCACAUUAUCCAAUUGCAUUCUCCCCAUUGAGCCAGGUCAAUCAGGGUUCACAUGUUACUAUGAUGAGUCCUUUUGGAUUAUCAAGUGGAGCCCAUGUAGGACUUGGUCAUCAUUUGGUAAUGGGCUACACUCCUGGCCACAGUGGAUCUAUCAAUGCACCAUUGGCUCAUUGUGGGUAUCAUCAUCCUAAUAUUAACAUAUACCAACAAAAGUCCUUGAGCAUCAGAUCUCAUGGCGGAUUUGUUGCUAGAGGGAGUCAUUUCAUAAUACCUGAUGGAAGCCAUAUAGGACUUGAUCAUCAUAUGGUGAUGGGUUGCAUUGCUGGCCCCAGUGGAUCCUUGAAUGCACCAUCUGCCCCUUGUGGGUACCAACCAAACAUCAACUUGUGCCAACAAAAUUCUUCGGGUAUUCCUCAAUUACCCCAGUUACGGCAAGAAUCAUCUGAAGGGAGCGUCAUGUUUAGCCAAUCAUCAUCAUCACCAUCUGAUGAAAAUCAGUCUGAGGUUUGAGGAUCAGCGCCUGCCUGAGUGAAAUUCCACAUGCAGUCAUCAUCAUCACCAUCCAGUGAAAAUUAGUCAGUGAGGUUUGAGGACCAGCGCCUCCUUGAGGGUCCCUCAGCUCUCAAGGUGAAAAACAUGUUGUUGAUAGAUUGGUUUCCAGAGUUUCAUGUUUUCUAUCUGUUUUGUGCCCAUUGACUGUUGAUAUAUUUUUUUUUUUGUUUUUUCUUUAACAUUUUCAAGCUCCCUCAGUUCUUUCAUGAUUGAUUAGUUACAGGCUGUGAUGUAAAGGAGUGAUCAAGGAAUAUGGAUGUUAUGCAAAAAACUCUCUGUAUAUAACUGAUGUUUUCUGGGUGUUUUCCA